AGCUUUGCGCAGAUGCGGUGUCGUACCCAAUGAAGUGAUCACUGAGGGGCGACUAUUGCUAGCUGAAAACUCGCGCGGCAAUGUUUACGACCAUCUGCGGCAUUAGAGUCACUGUAUGUGCUCUCCUUGUGGAA